GAUGAACGCUGGCGGCGUGCCUAAUACAUGCAAGUCGAGCGAACAGACGAGGAGCUUGCUCCUUUGACGUUAGCGGCGGACGGGUGAGUAACACGUAGGUAACCUACCUAUAAGACUGGGAUAACUUCGGGAAACCGGAGCUAAUACCGGAUAAUAUUUCGAACCGCAUGGUUCGAUAGUGAAAGAUGGCUUUGCUAUCACUUAUAGAUGGACCUGCGCCGUAUUAGCUAGUUGGUAAGGUAACGGCUUACCAAGGCAACGAUACGUAGCCGACCUGAGAGGGUGAUCGGCCACACUGGAACUGAGACACGGUCCAGACUCCUACGGGAGGCAGCAGUAGGGAAUCUUCCGCAAUGGGCGAAAGCCUGACGGAGUAACGCCGCGUGAGUGAUGAAGGUCUUCGGAUCGUAAAACUCUGUUAUUAGGGAAGAACAAACGUGUAAGUAACUGUGCACGUCUUGACGGUACCUAAUCAGAAAGCCACGGCUAACUACGUG
rnacentral:rRNA from 1 species